rnacentral:rRNA from 1 species
CGAUGGGUCCGCGUCUGAUUAGGUAGUUGGCGGGGUAACGGCCCACCAAGCCCACGAUCAGUAGCCGGCCUGAGAGGGCGGACGGCCACACUGGGACUGAGACACGGCCCAGACUCCUGCGGGAGGCAGCAGUGGGGAAUAUUGCACAAUGGGGGGAACCCUGAUGCAGCGACGCCGCGUGAAGGAAGAAGUAUCUCGGUAUGUAAACUUCUAUCAGCAGGGAAGAAAGAGGACGGUACCUGACUAAGAAGCCCCGGCUAACUACGUGCCAGCAGCCGCGGUAAUACGUAGGGGGCGAGCGUUAUCCGGAUUUACUGGGUGUAAAGGGAGCGUAGACGGCCAUGCAAGCUCGGUGUGAAAGGUGCGGGCACAACCCGCAGACUGCACUGAGAACUGUAUGGCUGGAGUGCCGGAGGGGCAGGCGGAAUUCCUGGUGUAGCGGUGAAAUGCGUAGAUAUCAGGAGGAACACCGGUGGCGAAGGCGGCCUGCCGGACGGCGACUGACGUUGAGGCUCGAAAGCGUGGGGAGCGAACAGGAUUAGAUACCCUGGUAGUCCACGCCGUAAACGAUGUAUACCAGGUGUCGG